UGUGGGAGCUGGCUUGCCUGCGAUUACGGUGGAUCUGUCGACAUUGAUGUUGGAUGUCAGACCGCUAUCGCAGGCAAGCCAGCUCCCACA
rnacentral:misc_RNA from 1 species